GCUGGGCACAGUGGCUCAUUCCUGUAAUCCCAGCAACUCAGGAGGCUGAGACAGGAGGAUCAUCAGUUCAAAACCAGCCUCAGCAAAAGGAGGCACUAAGCAACUCAGUGAAACCCUGUCUCUA
rnacentral:sRNA from 1 species